AAACCAUCAAGCACUGCUUGGUCUUGGACUAGGUCGAGUGACCCGUCCGCAACCCGUUGGCGGUGCAGUCCGGCUUCAAGCGUAGCAAGAGUUUCGCUUUAGGAGUCCGUGGCGGCAUCUGCCAGGAAACAGCACCUAAA
rnacentral:misc_RNA from 1 species